rnacentral:sRNA from 1 species
UACCUUGUUCAUUCCUAUUUGAUAGGACU